CAAUAUAUGGUUUUAAUAGAGC
rnacentral:siRNA from 1 species